UCAAUUUUUUUUGUUCCAUUUUUUUCUUUAUUAAGAUUUUUUUGUUGUUUUAGGCUUUUGCCGUCGCCACCAGCGGAAUCUGAGUACAAAGGUUCGCUUUUUUGGAACCAAUUUCACUCUGCAGGUACUUCUUCACACACCUCUUUUGCUUCGAAUAUCUAAAUCUUCAAUUUUUCACAAAUGGGUGUCAUUUUAUCACAUGUCAUGAGGUGAUCCGGUACUCUAUUAAUGGAUCAAGACUGGUUAUUGGAUAAAAAAUGCACCGUAGAUUUGUUAUUCGUUUCUUCUCUAUUCUGAAUCAAUGUCCUUCGGUUCGUUUAGUCUCGUCUUCACCGCAAAAGCUUGAACAGGCUAUUAGAGCUGAAGUAGAAGCCAAAAACUAUGUUAAAAUUCCUGAUUUGUUUUCCGUUGAGUUGUCCAAAUCCCAAAAUUCAAAUCCUUUCUCAUUUUUAUCUUCUUUUCCACAGAACUUACAAGUGCAAAUUGUUGAUGAAAUGUUGCAGUCUUUUAUACCUAUCAGACCACGCUAUAAGCCCCAGCUAGCCUAUUCCUACCUUCUUUCCUACACCCUCCAAAGUUCUCAUCCACUUCCUCUUGCACUUGCUGUCCUACAACGGACUCUACGUUCUGGUUGCUUACCAAUUCCUCAGACUCAACUUCUCCUCUCAUCUGCUUGGUUGGACCGGCGAUGUCUGUCUCAUUCGGUAGCUAAUAUUUUACUUGAGAUGCAAUCAAUUGGAUAUCAUCCCGACUGCGGUACCUGUAAUUACCUACUAUCGUCUCUUUGUGCCGUUGACCAGCUAGUUGAGGCAGUUAAUGUCCUGAAGGGUAUUGGUGGAGCAGGAUGUAUUCCUGAUUCAACUAGUUACGGAAUUCUAAUUGGUGCUAUGUGCAAAGUCAGAAGGACUGCCGACGCACAAGAUUUAAUGAAGCAAAUGGUGGUGAAAUACGGGUUGACCCCGGAUCAUGGAACAGUGGUGAAAGUUUUGGCAGCAUUACGGGCGAACAAGGAGAUAUGGAAAGCUGUUGAGAUUAUUGAGUUCCUGGAGAUAGAGGGUAACUCUGUCGGAUUUGAGAGUUACGAGUUAGCGAUUGAAGGUUGCUUGGAGACACGUGAGUAUGUUUUAGCUGGAAAGGUUGCUAUGGGGAUGACAGAAAGAGGUUUUAUACCAUAUAUCAAAGCGAGGCAGAAGAUAAUUGAUGGUUUGGCCAGCAUCGACGAAUGGAAGAUAGCUUGUGCUGUAAGACAAAGAUUUGCAACGCUUAAAUCUUAGCUGUUAAAUAAUUUAUAGUGAGCCAGGUAAAUUAUCCUAGCAUGCUGUUUAAUGCUUGACAGGGUAGGUAGCAUCCAUGGCAAUGCCGCAAGUGCCAUCUUUAUCCUUAGUAUCGCGCUUCAACCUAACAUAACCAGAUUCACUCACCCCAGUCAUUUGUCCAUGAAUUCUUCACAAGCCAAUACUUUUCACCACUUUCUUCUCCAUAACCAACUAUAGUCAUGCCAUGAUUGAGGUCCUUUCCAUAACUUCCAGAGAAGAUACCUUUUGAAUAAAAUUGAAAUGCAUAACCUCCAGCAUCAGUUGCAACGGAGACAGGCUGAUGAGCAACUGCAGCUUUUAGCAUUUUCUCAUUGCAAGCAGGUGAAUGCUAUGUCCAUGUCGCCACCUUCGCAGCCUUCGUUCCCACGUUUAGUAUCCCAAUCUAUCAGCUGUUCUUCUGACAGAGAAACCAACUUUCCUGUUUUUAUCUUGUUGAUGCCUUCCAGAGCUGCCACUGCUGAGAAUGCCCAACAACUUCCUGCAUCAUGUUUAAUACCAUCAUGUCAGUUCAAAACAUAAAUUUUUCGAAAAUGUUUAAUCAUAAUCUUUAGCUAGCUAACUCCCGCGUUAGAUAAACAUUAGAAGACUUCAAAUAUAUUUAGAUAUAACUUUUAGACUAAUUUCAAGCAAAAUUUACUAUAAAUCAAAUUUUUAAUAUAUAUAUAUAUAUAUAUAAACAAUAUACUAUAAAGCAAAUUUUUAAAUGACUGCAAUCUUCUACAACUGAAUUGUAACAGUUAAGGAUCCUGGUUCGUGUAUGUAUGUGUGUAUAUUUUACUUGCUAUAUUAGCAGCUAAACUAUGUAAUAUUUGAGAGAAUGAAUAAACUUGAUUUGCAAUAAACUUUAUCACUACUGCCUUGAUCUUUGACAUGUGUAACCGCACCUUCCUUCCUCCAAUCUAUGCUUUUUGGCACAUCCCCAUGUUGGUGAUACAUGAAUUCUGUCUCUACACGCAACCGCGGUACAUAACCCUGAUACUGAUAGGUGCUUUGGAACUCUUCAUUUGUAAGAUCUGCAAACCUGUUGGCCGGCGGGAGCUUGUAAGAAUAGUUUUGAGAGUUGUAGAACUCUAUAAACUGAACAUUUGAUUGGUAAAUGUCGAAACAAACUUUAAAUUUUUCUCCGUCUCUGUAAUGUCGUCCGUGCCCUUUCAGCUAAGUUUGAUACCUCUACUUCACGACUUCCGGAUCAGUUGAAAUAUUUGUGUGCAUUGCAGGACAUGCACUUGCAGUUAUCCAUAGAUUGCACAAGACAACAAGGCUUAAUGUUAUAGUUGUCGUCAUGGCUGGGUUCUUAUAGUAUAUGGGGAAUGACAGCAUUAGUUAGCAUGCAUUGAUAUUUAUUAUAUCAUAAACAAUAUAUAUUAGUUCUUAAUGUCUUGUUUAUUUUUAUUUAUUUAUGCAUGUCGAUUUCUGUUUAGAUUUUAGAGACAUUUCCAUUGCAUAUUUAUUUACUUGCGAGUUUUUGCAAGACAAGAUUUAUGUAUCUUCAUGAUCAUAAUUAAGACGUACGUACAGGUCUUGUUAAGCA